GCUCUUCUAGUAUACUAAUUACAAUUGACUUCCAAUCUCUAGAAUCCGGUAAAAUCCCGGAGAAGAGCA
rnacentral:tRNA from 1 species